GCCGCAGCGGCGGUGGCCCGGCUCCGGCGGUGGCUGUGGGGCUCCCGGGGGGGUCCCCGGGAAGGAGCGCAAGUUGACAGAUGUACAUGAGGAGGUGCCUGGUCGGCCUCACGUUUUGUAUCUGCUACUUGGCUUCUUACCUCACGAACAAGUAUGUUCUGUCUAUCUUGAAGUUUACCUACCCUACAUUAUUCCAAGGGUGGCAGACGCUGAUUGGUGGACUUUUGCUUCAUGUGUCAUGGAAGCUGGGCUGGGCGGAGAUCAACUGCAGUUCAAGAUCUGCUGUUUUGACGUGGCUUCCUGCUUCGGUGCUCUUUGUGGGUGUGAUCUAUGCUGGUUCCAGAGCGUUGUCUCGACUGGCCAUUCCUGUAUUUCUGACUUUGCAUAAUGUAGCUGAAGUUAUCACCUGUGGGCACCAGAAAUGUUUUCGGAAAGAGAAGACAUCUCCUGCAAAGAUCUGUAGUGCCCUCUUCCUCCUGGCCGCCGCAGGGUGCCUGCCCUUCAAUGACUCCCAGUUUGAUCCAGAUGGAUAUUUCUGGGCUGUCAUUCACUUAUUCUGUGUAGGAGCUUAUAAGAUACUCCAGAAAUCCCAGAAACCCAACGCGUUAAGUGACAUUGACCAGCAGUACUUGAACUACCUAUUCAGUGUGGUGCUCCUGGCCUGUGCAUCUCACCCCACAGGUGAUCUCCUUGGCGUCCUGGACUUUCCGUUCCUGUAUUUCUACAGAUUCCAUGGCAGCUGCUGCGCCAGUGGGUUUUUAGGAUUUUUUCUCAUGCUGAGCACAGUGAAGCUAAAAAGCCUUAUGGCCCCAGGGCAGUGUGCAGCCUGGAUUUUCUUUGCUAAGUUUACCUCAAGAACAGUAGGUGCCUCCUCAAUCUGAAUUGAUCUAUCGAGCCAAAGAGAUGAAUCCAGCCAAGGAAGUGUGUUAGCAAGAUAUGUUGGACUAAACUCCAUCCACUACAGAGAAGGCGAGAGCCCCGUUGGCUCUCUCCCCGGCCACCCUGUGAAUUCCUCCAACCUGUGUGACUGUUGGGUUCUUUCAGGCUCUGCUGCCUACAGCCAGGGGCCACAGGCUUCCUUCAAUCAGGUGAACCCCAGCGGGCACCACUGUCUUGCAGCUACGAGGUGGCAGCGCGGUGAGGUGCCUCCCUACGGGUGGUCCCAGCGAGUCGGUACAAGUUACAAUGAGAACUCUGCACUAACAGCCCUGAGGACGUGGCGAUGGGCUUCACGCUCUGGGUUGGAAUGGAUCUGGAGAGAAGACCCGGGGACAAGCCUGCAAGGCCUGCGUGUGGCCGCGAGGAAGCCCGGGGUGGGGACAGCGAGGAAGUCUUGCUCGCGGAGAGCUGGGAGAGUGGUCUUCUGCACGGGGCUCCCGUUCCUUGCUGAGCAGUUAACAGUUCAUGGCUCAUCUCUGCUGGCCAGACACAAGACUCCCUGAAAAGCUCCCGGUACUGCGUCUACACAAAAACAUGUCGAGAGGAAAAACGUUUGGUCAGCCGAGUUCUAUUUUUGCCUUUCCAGCAGUAAGUGCUGCUCGCCCGCGCCCAGAGGAAGUGGCCCCUGGCCCUCCUCGGAGGCCUGUGCUAGGAACUCUGGACCAGGCGUCUGUAAUGGGGCAUGACUUCGUGCUCUGGCAGAUGAAGGGCAAAUUCCAAGGCCACCAACACCGGGAAUUCAAAGGCAAUCAGUUCUCGUCUGUUCAGCCGGAACUUCUCUUCCAGUUUCUGCAACAGAAUUAAAAUCAGAAGCUUUUUAGCUUUGAGAUAAAAAUCCUAGGUUUUUUCUCCCCACGUGUAACCUCUGUAUCCAUCAGCCGGUGAGUGUUUCCAGAGAAACCCGUGAUGGGCAAGACUGUGGAGGAGGAAAGGGGGGCAUUGGAGUGCUUCCUGCCCUCAGUCCUGGUGGAGGGAGAGUCGUACCCCACUGAGACCUGCAGUCUACCUGACAUACAUCCCGCGACUUCACUUAAUCGCUCAUCUGUCUUACAAGAAGGGCGACGUGGAAUGGGAUUCUGUCCCUACAGGUGAGCACAUCAUCCUAUACGCGGCCAGCAGACUCAAGUCGCUGGGGCUUCGGACCCUUCCCGAGCUGUACAGACCCUGUUGACACGGGACCAAGCUGAACCCAAGCGGAUCCCUGAGGGUCUGAAAACUGGGAGCAGAAGCGUCCAAAGUGACAGUGGGAAACCAAGGUCGUUCCAGAGAGACAGUUACUGAGACAAGCAAGGCACUUGGUAUCAGCUCUGCUGAGCGUCCGUUACAGGCACUGACUAUGGCAGAAGCAGGCUCAGGCUAAGGGCACAGCAACCCGUCUGCUUAGGAGAGCUGCCCGGCCGACGGACAAAGUGCGAACACUUAACUCUUCUCACCUCUUUGGCUCGGAGCACACCAGCAUCAAAUCAGUAUCGGGAUGCGUACACGUGUGAAUGAUGCUGUGUAUUCCCACACUGUGUGUGUAGUCUAGCCUCCAGUACCACCCCCCCCCCAAUGAAAGCCUGCUGUCUUGGCACACAGACCCCGCAACCCAAGGCAGCCUCUCUCCAGCCCAGCAAGGCCGGUCCUCCUGAAUCCUGGGCCGGCAGAUGUGGGUCACCACUGGGUGGACCCAGUCAGCCGCAGGGGAGAUUCAGGCCUGAUUUUGCUUUGGCUGUUUGCUGACUGCUUCCAGAUAGGGCUUGGCUGUCACCUCUGGGUGGACGACCGUGGGUAAAGAGUUAUCUUCCCAAACUCUGUGAUGCCAACUCUUUUGUUUUGCCUGCACUUGAGAGAGAGCAGGGAACCGAAUGUUCCCUAUUCUGAGCUUUCCAUGACAUAAACCUUACUCAACUAUGAGCCACAGGUACCUCUCCCCACCAUAUCCGACUGUCAGCUCAUGUCAAGGGCGCCACCUCCGUCCUGGCUCCCAGGGCUCUCUCCCAUCCAGGCAGCGGUCAGCCAGCAUCGGAUGAGCCUCUUUUUGCUGAAGGUGACCAUAUUUCAUUUCCCCAGAACAACGGAGAGACCCAUCGUACAAAGCAUGAGCUUGGUGCUUGCUGGGAGGGGGGACUGGGGGAAAGUUCGAGUGGGUGCCCAUUCUCACGUACCUCCUUAUUUUGCUGAGUGUUAACUUAAUGUGAGGGAACUUCUCCUUGAAGGUCUCAUUCAUGUCCUUCUUGAGAUCUGAGGGCUUCACAUAGUCGAUGACAGUGGUCUGUAACAGAUUGGGUGACACAGGUCACUCUUAGAAGAAGGGUCAUGUAUAAUAAUCCUGAGCAAGUUAUAGCCAGCUUCCAACACCACCAGCAACGGGGAACCUAACCCCUGCUAUCAGCAGGGCACAGCAGCGUUUAGAAACCCCAGCCUCCGGACCAUCAGGAGUCGGUGCCUGCAGGGAGGUGAGUCCCUCUUUGAGUGCCUGCGUUUCAGUCCGACAUUCACACAGCGUGUGAUCUGGACUCGCACAGAUCUGGGUACAAUCUUCACCAGACCAUCACUAGUCAUCUGACUGUAGGAGGUAAAUUUAAUGACCCUAAAUGUCAGAUUCCACGUCUGUAAAACGAAAACAGUAACAACGCCCACCUCAUAUGGCUAUAUCAAGAAAUACGUGAGAAGUGCUCUGGACGGUGCUUAGAAUAUAGCAAGUGCUCAAUAAAUGUUAGCUGUUGUU